GGUCAUAUCUCGAUCACCGAAGUUAAGCAACGUGGAUCCUGGUCGGUACCUAGAUGGGUGACUGCUUGGGAAUACCACGUGCUGUAAG